rnacentral:rRNA from 1 species
AACCAACUCCCUGAGUGGUGGGGACGAUUAUUGGGCUUAAAAUGUCCGUAGCCGGCCUGAUUAGUCCCGCGUUAAAUCCAGCGACCUAAUCGUUGGUCUGCGGGGGAUACGGUCAGGCUUGGGAGCGGGAGAGGUUAGCGGUACUCCAGGGGUAGGGGCGAAAUCCAGUAAUCCUUGGUGGACCACCAGUGGCGAAGGCGGCUAACCAGAACGCGUCCGACGGUGAUGGACGAAAGCUGGGGUAGCGAACCGGAUUAGAUACCCGGGUAGUCCCAGCUGUAAACGAUGCGGGCUAGCUGUUGGGAUGGCUACGAGCCAUCUCAGUGGCGCAGGAAAACCGUUAAGCCCGCCGCCUGGGGAGUACGGCCGCAAGGCUGAAACUUAAAGGAAUUGGCGGGGGAGCACCACAAGGGGUGAAGCUUGCGGUUU